rnacentral:rRNA from 1 species
UACGGAGGAUCCGAGCGUUAUCCGGAUUUAUUGGGUUUAAAGGGAGCGUAGGUGGAUUGUUAAGUCAGUUGUGAAAGUUUGCGGCUCAACCGUAAAAUUGCAGUUGAAACUGGCAGUCUUGAGUACAGUAGAGGUGGGCGGAAUUCGCGGUGUAGCGGUGAAAUGCUUAGAUAUCACGAAGAACUCCGAUUGCGAAGGCAGCUCACUAGACUGCAACUGACACUGAUGCUCGAAAGUGUGGGUAUCAAACAGG